rnacentral:tRNA from 1 species
GCAUUGGUGGCUCAGUGGUAGAAUUCUUGUUUUCCAUGUGUGAGAUCCAAGUUCAAUUCUCAGCCAAUGCA